rnacentral:rRNA from 1 species
AGAGUUUGAUCAUGGCUCAGGAUGAACGCUGGCGGAGUGCCUAAUACAUGCAAGUCGAGCGGCAGCGUGGAGAGUUUACUCUCUGGCGGCGAGCGGCGGACGGCUGAGUAACGCGUGGGAACGUGCCCCAAAGUGAGGGAUAAGCCCGAGAAAUCGGGUCUAAUACCGCAUAUGAUCUUCGGAUUAAAGGAUUUAUCCGCUUUGGGAGCGGCCCGCGUACGAUUAGAUAGUUGGUGAGGUAAUGGCUCACCAAGUCGACGAUCGUUAACUGAUCUGAGAGGAUGAUCAGUCAGACUGGAACUGAGACACGGUCCAGACUCCUACGGGAGGCAGCAGUAAGGAAUCUUCCACAAUGGACGAAAGUCUGAUGGAGCAACUCCGCGUGCAGGAUGAAGGCCUUCGGGUUGUAAACUGCUUUUAUGAGUGAAGAAUAUGACGGUAACUCAUGAAUAAGGGUCGGCUAACUACGUGCCAGCCGCCGCGGUAAUAC